rnacentral:rRNA from 1 species
UACAGAGGUCUCAAGCGUUGUUCGGAUUCAUUGGGCGUAAAGGGUGCGUAGGUGGCGCCGUAAGUCAGGUGUGAAAUUUCGGAGCUUAACUCCGAAACUGCAUUUGAUACUGCGGUGCUUGAGGACUGGAGAGGAGACUGGAAUUUACGGUGUAGCGGUGAAAUGCGUAGAUAUCGUAAGGAAGACCAGUGGCGAAGGCGGGUCUCUGGGACGGUACUGACGCUGGAGACGCGAAAGCGUGGGGAGCGAACAGG